rnacentral:lncRNA from 1 species
UGUGCAGAAGUAGAUAUAUCACGUAUAAAUGGUUUUUUCUCCUGAUUUCCAUGUUUGUUUGUUUUUUUUUAGCUUCUGAGCCUACAAGUGGUAUAUGCUUAUUCUGAACACGAGGCAUGAGCUCUUGGUCAGACUUCUAGAUCUGAGGUGCACUCCAGCAGUUACAAGUCCAGCAUCCCAAACUGCCCUGAAGUAGGUGCUUUGCCUCUUCUCACUCAGCAUCAGUUGCUUGCGUCUUGUGGAAGAUGCUGCCUGGGGCCCAGCAGAGCUGGAGGUAGUGGAAGCUUAACGCAGAGGGCCAUGGGGUUUGUGCCCUCUUUCACCAGUGGCUUAUUUUACAUACAGUACAUCAUUGUACCACUGACCUUCUCUGUUCUGCCUUGCUCUGAUGACAUCACAAGAAUGGCAAGAUUAUCAGUAAAGAUGGAAAUAGGUGCUUAUCAUUGUACAAAUAAGGAGAGGACUGGCAGCUACUGGAACGUGAUGAGCAACUGAGUCUGCUUUAGUACACGUGAAGAGACUGCAUCCCAACCAGUGAAAACUGGCGAUCAGAAUUCAGCAACAAAAGGCUGCUUGCCCAAGAGCUGCUCCUUGUAUGGAAGUAUCUAUAUGAAAAUGUCUAAUUACAAUCUAUUAAAACAUGGAGUUAAAACUACUACGUAGCCAAUAUUUAGCAACUUUGGUAGAUAAACAGUAUGUUUGGAACAACUAGCUCCUGUUUUAAAUGUAGAGCUCAUUAAUAUUUUCGAGGUUAUACUUCAGUAAUGACUUCCACAUAACAACCUCUCCACUUACUUUAAUUAUUUUAUUCAGUUUUACGUUUAUAGUAAGCUCUGACAUGCUCUAAUUGUAUUUCACAAUGGUUUUAAACUUCUAAUAAGCACAUAGAGCUUUUAUGCUAUCGUUUGAAGUACACUGGUAUUCCUGAGACCUAUAGUGAGUCACAAGUAAUACUAUUAGGCCUGUAGCAAAGCUUAUUUAGUCGAUAUAUACAUAUUUAAAGUUAAAUGUGUUCUUAGUACUAUACCGCCUUGGGAUUUUGGGUGAAUAACUAUGCUGAUUUACUAGGACAGAGCUACAGAUUGACUAAAAUAGUUGAAUGGAUGUCAGCUAGGUUAUAGGUAUGAAAGAUCACGUAGAAAUGAAUGCUUGUGUAAUCACAUUGGCUAUUAUAGAACUGAAAAUGAUAUUUUGGGUUGUUUCUCAUAUAACUAAAUUGGACACUUUUCUGUUUGCAAAGUUGUUUUCUGUCCAUUAUCAGAAGUUUCUGGUAACUAUGCAAUAGACUGGGUAGAGAUUAGAAUACACUGGGUUAUUCCAGGACCAGUCAGUUGUAGCAGUCAAGUUGUGAUGACUGUAGGUGAAAAAGUAGGUUUUGCUUUUCUUAAUAAUGACAUCGUAAUGUUGUUGGGUUUUUUUUCUGGUGGUUUUACACCUGCUGAGAAUGAUGGAUUUUUGCCAUUCAUGGACAGGUAAAUAGCUCUGUAAAAUCUAA